GGAGUGGGUGUGUUCUAAUGUUCUAAUGUGCAUAGCUUUACUGAAAGCUGCUGAGACCUUUGUAUGAACAGCAGUAUCAACAGGACUUAGGACUCCUGCUUGGCGAAUGUGACCGCCACGGCACCACUCAGAAAUCAUCGUGCUCUUUUACUUCGAGAAGCAGUGUAGCCUGAUUGUCUGAGGCAUGGCCUCUGGAACCACCACAGUGUGGUAGAAGCGCUACUACUCUCGGCAAAGAAGGAAAUGCUUGUGGAUCACCUUAGCAAAAAGCACAUGAAGCCACUGCAGGUCAUGACAUAAAAUCCUGGUUUGGACAAAAGGUGGUGAUUGAUGAAUAUAUAAUGAAGGAAACAAAUUCAGUUUUCCUUGUGUUUUCCAAGAAUACACUGUGUUUUAGAACAGCUCCUAAAGGGACAGCGUAUAACGGUAAUGUUUUAUCUUAAGCCUGUUGGGCCCAGGUGGCAGAGCCAGGGAAAUGUAUUUCUACAAUUCCAACAUCAAGCAGUAGAGGGCAGCACUGCCCUUGUUUUUGCGAAAUGCACCCUGCUGAGAACCAAAAAUAAAAAAGCAAAGCUUUCAGCAUAUGCUUUUUGAAAACUAGAGUCUCUUUGUAUUUUGAUGAAAUUAUGUAGAAAGAACAUUGGGGUCUGCAUUGCCUUGAAGUGGGAAUUAGUGAAAACAGAAGGUUUUAUAUAGGUACCUCCCUCAGAUAUGGAUUCUGUGCAGCAAAGAUAGAGCGUGGUUGGAACCUGGAUAAUAAAUGCAGUUAUUGUGUGAACACAGCUAAGGCUCCUGAUCUUCCAGGCUUGCAUGUGGGUUUUUUUUUGCAUGUGGUUUUUAAAAUGUGUGUAACUCUAUUCUGCCGGUCAGUGUUUGUCUGCCAUACCUGUGUCAGAACAAAACUGGCUCAAAGGGAGCACAUGUAUUUUGAGUGAAUGAAGCCUAUCUUCCACGCAACUGGCUAAGCAGCUGUGCAUUGAUAGCUGUGACACUGAAGCCUCGUACGAUGUCCUCACUCCAUCGUAGUAUGGUUUGAGUUUCCCUCGUGCAGUAAAUAGCAACGGAAAAAUACGCUGCAGCUUGGUACUAAGCGUUACUUGAUGCUCCCUGGCAGCAUGACAGGACAGAGUCUAACUUUAGCGAAUACCUCACUACAGUAUUCCUAGCCCAUUUGGAUUCCACUCUGACCCUCUCAACUUUUCUUUCAACUAAAAUAAAUCUCACCAGAAACAAGAGCUGGAAGUCAUCGCGCCUUGUUCCCAACACUGCCACGUGAACUUGGGCAAAUGCUAAACCUUGCAGUCUUUUUGUUUCCUCAUCUGCUGAGCAGAGAUAAUACUCUCAGAUUUACAAAAACACUCAAGUUAGAAGAUACGUAUUACGACAUUUGCACAUCAUUAGAGUACCUAACGAGUGCUUUCAUCGCUGUAGCCCGAAGAUAUUCCUGCCUGUUCUAAGCCCCUAUAAGACUCCGUGUUGUCUCUCUUCUUCUGUUGCCAUCCUAUUUCCUGAAGUUACUAAUCUUCACACAGACUUUUUCCUUCAACUUGACUGUUCAUCAGUUCUUUGAGAACAAACACCAUAGAGUGUACUCCCAGAUAUCUUACACACA